UAAUAUGAGUAGUGUAGUAUAAAUUAUUGCCUAAAGAGGGCGCACUUUGCCUUCUGUUCAAGGGAACUCCCCGCGAACAAGCGAUUCUUUUAUCCUUCCAAGAUUUUCCCAUGAGACGUGUGAGAAAGAGGCUCCCGGAAUUCGACAUCCAACUUGAGAGGGUCAAUUGAAGCAAAUCCCUAGCCUAAAUACCACACUGAAAACUCCGAUUGGUUUUUAUGUACAGCAGAAGAAUCUGAGAAUCUGAAUCCUGUGAACUUGAUGAUAAGAUGGCGAGCUAUACCCAGAUUUUGGAUGCGGUGUGGCCAACCGCGUGAUCCAGAUCGAACCUGAUAAGCAAACCACGAAAACAUCAGACCCCAGUCCUGCCGUCAGGAAGGCAGGUAGUACACACACAGACCGGACCAGAACGGAACUCCCGGAACUCUCAAGCGCACACACACUGAAAUGGACUGAAGGACCAUAUCCUGGAACUUUCAAGCACACACACUGAAAAGAUCUAUUCUUCCUUUUUUUAUUUUUCACUGUUUUACACUGUGAUUUGUGCCUGACCACGUCUGAAAACAAUAAACUGGUCAUUUGUUCAACUGUU